GCCUACCUGGUUAAAUAAAGGUGUUCUCAACUAGCCUACCUGGUUAAAUAAAGGGGUUCUCAACUAGCCUACCUGGUUAAAUAAAGGGGUUCUCAACUAGCCUACCUGGUUAAAUAAAGGUGAAAUAAAAAAAAAUAUUUAAAAAAAAUAAAAA